CAGGUAUCUCCGAAGAAACCGAUCAAUCUUGGGGCUCGAUCCGAUUGACCGUAACUUGUCCAGUUGUAUCUAGAUUCCAAGAGACCGAUUCGAAGGAAUAUCCGACUAAUCUAGGGGCCAUGUUAAAUUCCUGGUGGCCAACGCAACCCGAGUGGCGGAAUGCUACUAACACUUCCUUUAUCACUGGGCCAACAAUGCGUUGGUUGAAAGGAAAGGUUGUCGUCCGAUUUCGGUACUCCCGCCAAGCCUCAUUUGCCAUCAAGACUCAGCAUCGCUAAGCAGCUCCGAUCAAGUUCAAAGAUGCGAUUCCUCCACAAGAAGAAGAAGAACUAAGUGUGCAAUGAUCUAGCGCAAAGCCCCCUAAGUGAUCCGCGCUCUCUUUUCUUUCACUUUUAUCUUAUAUCCUCUGUUUUUGUAACUUAAACUUGCGAUGCUUUAUCGUGACUUAUUUUAACAUAUUAUGGCAUAUUUUUGAUUUUUAUAAA